rnacentral:rRNA from 1 species
CUACGGGAGGCAGCAGUGAGGAAUCUUCCACAAUGGGCGAAAGCCUGAUGGAGCAACUCCGCGUGCAGGAUGAAGGCCUUCGGGUUGUAAACUGCUUUUAUGAGUGAAGAAUAUGACGGUAACUCA